GGGAGUAUAGCUCAGUGGUAGAGCUUGUGCUUAGCAUGAGCAACGUCCUGGGUUCAGUCCCCAGUACCUCCA
rnacentral:tRNA from 1 species